UUUCUCACGGUUUCGCGUUACUCACAGUUUUGCAGUCCAACUCUAAAGCACUGGCAAAACAAAACAAAAACUUUAAAAUAAUAAUAAUAAUAACAUUUGCCGGAAAUGCGGUUGACGAAGCUGUGGCAAAAUCGCUCGCCCGGCGACCGCCACUUGAGCACAUACUUCUGCUUCGCGGCAGUGCGCCUGCUGCUGGUCUUCGUGCCCCAACUGGGCUAUGUGCAUCCCGAUGAGUUCUUCCAGAGCGUGGAGGUGAUGACAGGCGAUCACUUUCGGCUGGAACACACGCGCACCUGGGAGUUUAACAAUUCGCUGCCCGUGAGGUCAAUAGUUCUCCCAUUUGCCCUGCUCCGGAUUCCUUGGAGUUUCUACGAGUUCAUCGCCGAGUGUGUGAGAGCCGGCUGGAAAUUGGAGCUUUUGGGCACCUACACCUAUGUCGUGUUUCCCCGGCUGAUCUACACCCUGAUCUCGUUCAGCAACGACUACUGUUUGUACCGCAUCUGCCGGCUGUAUGGACUCCGCUUCGAAAUCCGCCUUCUGGCCAUGGGCAGCUCCUGGAUUCUUCUCGUCUUUGGCACCCGCACCUUCUCCAACAGCCUGGAAAUGGCCAUGUGCUCCUGGCUGCUUUGCUUGGUCUCCGAAUGCAUGCUGCGCACGAAUACAGUGGUCUACAAGAAGGAGUUCCUGGAGGAGAAGUACGACAAGGCGGAGUCGAUUAGUGAACGAGUGCGAAUUUGGAAGCUGAAGAACUCUCUGCCACCCCACAAUUUGCAGCAUCUGAUGGCCAUGUCCACCAUCUGUGUGGCUGGAGUGUUCAAUAGACCCACCUUCCUGCUGUUUGGAGCACCCAUGGUCUUCUUUUGGCUGCUGCGCGGUAUGGGAACGAGGACCAUCACCUUCAGAGACUUUAAUCUGCGCAUUGUGCUCUUCUGUUUGUGCUCCCUGCCCGCCCUGAUCUUCUUCAUCUUUUGUGACUCGCUGUAUUACCAGCACCUGACCCUUGGAGAACUGCACAUGAUGCACUUGAGCAUCGACAACUUUGUCUUCACGCCCUGGAACUUUAUCAAAGCCAAUCUGGAUUCGGCUCAGACAGCCAGUCAUGGAGUUCACCCCUGCUAUGUCCACCUGAUGGUCAACAUGCCAAUGCUGUUCAACGUCCUGGCCUUGGCUGCGUUGGGAGCCUUUGCCCAGCUGCUGCUGAGAUUCUUCCGGGCGGAAUACCAAGUGCUGCCGCGCUUCCAGAGUAUCGUGUCAUUGAUGUCGGGGGCCAUCUUUGUGCCCCUGUUCUUUCUCUCCCUGAUCAACCACCAGGAGCCCCGCUUUCUGCUGCCCGUGACCUUUCCCCUCAUACUGCUGCAUGCUCCCAAACUGAUCACAGGAUUUAGCGCCAAGUAUCCCUUUCAGAAGGAUCACCCGCUGUUGCGCAGUUUCUACGACAGACUGCUCUCCAGCAAAGCUUCGGGACCCUACCUGCUGAAGAUCUGGUACGUGAGCAAUGUGGUGCUGACCCUGUUCUUCGGCUUUAUCCACCAGGCGGGCGUUUAUCCUCUAGCGGCGGACAUCUCACAUGUGAUGGCCACCAAACCGGCAGCAACGCAUGUGCACCUAAUAACAUCACACAUCUACAGCGUGCCCUUGCACCUGAUCAACAUUCCCAGCUCGAGAGUACUGCACUUCAAUAGGCAGACACAUCAGCGAUAUCGCCGCCCAAGAGACUUCUAUAUGUACGAGUACGGAGGCCUUUCCUUGGACUCUCUGAUGCAGAAGGUAAAACUAAUAAGUGGAAACUGCGAGGUGAAGCGGUCCGGACCAAGUCACUUGCGGUACAAACUUUAUUUGGCCAUUCCGGCAUCGUUAAGUGCAGAUCUUCACGAGGCGCUGGUUCAAUCCAAUGCCAGCAGCUACCUGAACUUCGAGCUGCUCAAUGUCUUCUAUCCGCAUCUCUCCACGGAGGCGUUUCCCCGCCUCUUGGGCAGGCAUCCCUGCGAUGUGGAUGCACCUCAUUGGGCACACGACGAUCUCCGGGGCACCUGUGCCGUGGAGCAGCCGCCAGCACUCAGCUUUGCCUACCUGAACAAGCAGUUUAGCUCUUUCGUCCACCAACUGGGAUUGGCGCUUUACGAGAUCGAUGUGAAGCGCAAAAAGCCGCGAUCUGUAUUGCUGAGGAAGGCCUCCUUGACGGAAACCCCGGCGUAGGACUUAUUCUUUGGCCAUUCCAAGUGCCUUAAACCAAAGAUUAACUAUUUAUUGUAACUUAAGUCUUGUAAAGCACAAUUUCCGAAAAUUUCUGUCAACAUUCCUAAUUAGUGCACAAAAAAUUUACAUUUAUAAAUACGCCUAGUCAUUACCAAAUACUUUUUUAAUCUUAAACUAUCAAUUAAGUUUUGACUAAGCUUAGUCAACCCAUAGUUAAAUACGAAUACUGAAGGACAAUAAUACUGAGUGACCACAGAUAAAUGGGGCAGUUGAGGAAAAGAUCCUAAUUAAAAGGAAUCGUAAUUCUGUCCAUUUCAGUUGUCGAACGCUGGAAAAAGUAAUCCAUUUGACACGCCGAUGGCUGUUGGCUGCUAAUUCCCGACAAACAUCUGAGGGUGUGGGCACGGCAUCCGCGUUCAUUGAACGUUACCCGGCAGAAUUAUCAUUGCGGACGCAAUUGUGUUCUGAUUCAGAUUUUUGUAAUUGGGCUGCCUAAGCCGUAAACCCGUUUUGGCAAUGCGGCGACAAUUGGCCUAUAAAAUGCUGGAGAAGUUUGGACAACAGCAUCAGUCACUGACAAACCAACCAACCCAAACAAUCAAAUCAAC